UAGGGAAUCUUCGGCAAUGGGGGGAACCCUGACCGAGCAACGCCGCGUGAGUGAAGAAGGUUUUCGGAUCGUAAAGCUCUGUUGUUAAGGAAGAACGAGUGUGUGAAUGGAAAGUUCAUACUGUGACGGUACUUAACCAGAAAGGGACGGCUAACUACGUGCCAGCAGCCGCGGUAAUACGUAGGUCCCGAGCGCUGUCCGGAUUUAUUGGGCGUAAAGCGAGCGCAGGCGGUUAGAUAAGUCUGAAGUUAAAGGCAGUGGCUCAACCAUUGUAGGCUUUGGAAGCUGUUUAACUUGAGUGCAGAAGGGGAGAGUGGAAUUCCAUGUGUAGCGGUGAAAUGCGUAGAUAUAUGGAGGAACACCGGUGGCGAAAGCGGCUCUCUGGUCUGUAGCUGACGCUGAGGCUCGAAAGCGUGGGGAGCGAACAGG
rnacentral:rRNA from 1 species